CUGUGUAUAUAUGUAUUACCUGUUGGGC
rnacentral:piRNA from 1 species